GUCCAUUAGGUCCUGUUUCUGCCCCUCCAUUUCAGAGGUCAGGAGGCAGGAAAGGAGGAAACGGAAGGUGAAGUCUCUUGCUGCUGAUAUUAUGAGAUGUGAAUGAAAGAUCACGGAACUCUGCUUCUCUUUUCCUCUCAGUCCCCAGUCUCCAAUACCCCAGUCAGAGAACUUGGAUGACAAGUAAACCCCGUUGAUGGUGCUGCUGUCUUCUCUGCAUCUGGCUGUCACUUCAGAUCUGGCCAUCAUGUUUGGUUUUCCAGGCCUGGUUCCAGUGCAUUCGAUCCCCCUCUCCCCGUUGCCAGCCGGCCAGGGUCCGCCUGGGCCUCAGGGGUCCCAGAUUUGCCUUCUUGGUUGCCCAAGGUCUCAGUAACCCACAGAGAAGCU
rnacentral:lncRNA from 10 species